rnacentral:rRNA from 1 species
CCAGACUCCUACGGGAGGCAGCAGUGGGGAAUUUUGCGCAAUGGGGGAAACCCUGACGCAGCAACGCCGCGUGCGGGACGAAGGCCCUCGGGUCGUAAACCGCUUUCAGCAGGGAAGACCUUACGACGGUAUCUGCAGAAGAAGCUCCGGCUAACUACGUGCCAGCAGCCGCGGUAAUACGUAGGGGGCGAGCGUUAUCCGGAUUCAUUGGGCGUAAAGCGCGCGUAGGCGGCCGCCUAAGCGGAACCUCUAACCCCGGGGCUCAACCGCGGGCCGGGUUCCGGACUGGGCGGCUCGAGUGCGGUAGAGGAGAGCGGAAUUCCCGGUGUAGCGGUGGAAUGCGCAGAUAUCGGGAAGAACACCGAUGGCGAAGGCAGCUCUCUGGGCCGUCACUGACGCUGAGGCACGAAAGCGUGGGGAUCGAACAGGAUUAGAUACCCCCGUAACU